rnacentral:rRNA from 1 species
GGUUGGGAUCAUACCAGCACUAAUGCACCGGAUCCCAUCAGAACUCCGCAGUUAAGCGUGCUUGGGCGAGAGUAGUACUAGGAUGGGUGACCCCCUGGGAAGUCCUCGUGUUGCAACCC